UGGAGUGUGGCUCAGUGGUAGAGCACUUGCCUAGUGUGCAUGUGGCCCUGAGUUCAAUCCUCAGCAUAACAC
rnacentral:tRNA from 1 species